AUAAAUUCCAUCCAAGGAUAAAUAUGGGUGAGAGACCGUUAGCAAAAAAUUACCGCAAAGGAAAGAUGUAAAAGAACUUUGAAAAGAAAGUCACAGAGUGCUUGAAAUUGUCGGGAGGAAAGUAGAUGGGGGCUGGCAAUGCACCUUGGUCGGAUGCGGAAUGAUGAGAGUCAGUCUACUGAUUGACUCGGGGAGUGGACCGAUACGGAUUGCAUUUGUAGCCUAAGCCCGGGCUAUAGAUAUGCCCAUGGAGACUUCAUCGCCAUGAUCAUGGUGGGCAGCGCGCAGUGUCAUGGCGUGCUUCGGCACCUGCUCGCUCCUGGCGUCGACCUGUGGGUCCCCCAUUUGGCCCGUCUUGAAACACGGACCAAGGAGUCUAACAUGUGUCGGAGUCAACAAGCCAAUAAACCUGUAAGGUGCAAGGAAACUGAAUGGCAGGACCUCAUGCUGGUUGCACCACCAACUGACCUUGAUCUUCUAAGAAGUCGACUGAUAGCAUGCCUGUCGGGACCCAAAAGAUGGUGAACUGUGCCUGAGCAGGACAAAGCAAGAGGAAACUCUAGUGGAGGCCUACAGCGAUACUGACAUGUAAAUCGUUCAUCUAACUUGGGUAUAGGGACAAAAGACUAAUUGAACUAUCUAGUAGUUGGUUCCCUCCGAAGUUUCCCUUAGGAUAGCUGGAGCCUGCGGACGAGUUCUAUCAGGUAAAGCCAAUGAUUAGAGGCAUCAUGGGUGCAAUGCCCUCAACCUAUUCUCAAACUUUAAAUAGGUAGCACGAUGCAGUUGCUUCGUUGACUCAGAAUUGGUAAGGACAAGGGAAAUCUGACUGUUUAAUUAAAAUAAUGCAUUGCGAUGGUCCCUGCGGAUGCUCACGCAAUGUGAUUUCUACCUAAUACUCUGAAUAUCAAAGUGAAGAAAUUCAACCAAGCGCAAGUAAACAGCGGGAGUAACUAUGACUCUCUUAAGGUAGCCAAAUUCCUCCUCACUUAAUUAGUGAUGCUCAUGAAUGGAUUACUGAGAUUCCCACUGUCCCUGUCUACUAUCCAGCAAAACCACAACCAAGGGAAAGGGCCUGGCAGAAUCAGUGGGGAAAGAAGACCCUGUUGAGCUUGACUCUAGUCCCACUUUGUGAAAUGACUUGAGAGGUGUAGUAUAAGUGGGAGCUAGAAACAGCGAAAGUGAAAUACCAGUACUGUUAACGUUAUUUUACUUAUUCCAUGAAUUGGAAGGGGGGAACUGCCCCACUUUUUGGACCCAAGGUUAGCCUCGAUGGGCCGAUCCAGGUGGAAGAAAUCGUCAGGUGGGGAGUUUGGCUGGGAUAGCACAUCUGUUAAAAGAUAACGCAGGUGUCCUAAGAUGAGCUCAAUGAGAAUGGAAAUCUCAUAUGGAAUGAAAGGGUAAAAAGCCCGUUUGAUUCUGACUACCAGUACGAAUACGAACCAUGAAAGCGUGGCCUAUCGAUCCUUUAGACCUUCGAAAUUUGAAGCUAGAGGUCUCAGAAAAGUUACCACAAGGAUAACUGGCUUGUGGCAGCCAAGCAUUCACAGCAACGUUGCUUUUUGAUCCUUCGAUGUUAGCUCUUCCUAUCAUUGUGAAGCAGAAUUCACGAAGUGUUGGAUUGUUCAUCCACGAAUAGGGAACCUGAACAAGGUUUAGAGCAUCAUGAGAUAGGUUAGCUUUACCCUACUGAUGACAAUGUCACAAUAGUAAUUCAACCUAGUACGAGAGGAACCGUUGAUUCACACGAUUAGCCAUCACGCUUGGUUGAAAAGCUAGUGGCACGAAGCCACCAUGCGCUGGAUUAUGAAUGAAUGCCUCUAAGUCUGAAUCCAGGCUAGAAGCAAUGCAUGCCCUGCCACCCAUUUACCGACCUGCAGUAGGGGCCUCAGCUCCUGAAAGAAAGUGUCGUUGUCCAAGCCCAUCAGCUCUGACAUCAGACAUAUUAGACAUAAGUUAGCUUAGACAUUAGAAAUCAGUUAGCUUAGUUGUCAAACUAGUCAACUCGUUUCCUAAUUUGUGUUUGACUUUUUUAUUUUU
rnacentral:rRNA from 1 species